GACGAACGCUGGCGGCGUGCUUAACACAUGCAAGUCGAACGGUGAAAGGGAGCUUGCUCCCUGGAUCAGUGGCGAACGGGUGAGUAACACGUGGGCAACCUGCCCCAGACUUCGGGAUAACGCUUCGAAAGAGGUGCUAAUACCGGAUACGAACUCCUUGGGCAUCCUUGGAGUUGGAAAGUUUUUCGGUCUGGGAUGGGCCCGCGGCCUAUCAGCUUGUUGGUGAGGUAACGGCUCACCAAGGCGACGACGGGUAGCCGGCCUAAGAGGGUGACCGGCCACACUGGGACUGAGAUACGGCCCAGACUCCUACGGGAGGCAGCAGUGGGGAAUAUUGCACAAUGGGCGCAAGCCUGAUGCAGCGACGCCGCGUGAGGGAUGACGGCCUUCGGGUUGUAAACCUCUUUCAGUAGGGACGAAGCGCAAGUGACGGUACCUACAGAAGAAGGACCGGCCAACUACGUGCCAGCCGCCGCGGUAA
rnacentral:rRNA from 1 species